AUUACUACCGGGGGUAUAGCACUGAAUUGGCUAGGGGGCUUACCAGCUUACCAAACCAUAUCAAACUCAGAAUACCGGUAAGUAUAAUUAUGCAGUGAGACUGUGGAUGCUAAGGUCCAUAGUCGAAAGGGAAAGAGCCCAGACCAUCAGCUAAGGUCCCUAAAUCGUAUCUAAGUGGAAAAGGUUGUGAAAUUACCUAGACAUCCAGGAGGUUGGCUUAGAAGCAGCCAUCCUUUAAAGAAAGCGUAAUAGCUCACUGGACUAGUGAUUUUGCGCCGAAAAUGUAACGGGGCUAAAGAUACGUACCGAAGCUAUGGACUUUUGUAAAAAAGUGGUAGAAGAGCAUUGUGUUUACCGAUGAAGGUGUACCGUAAGGAGCGCUGGAGGUCCCACAAGAGCUGAUGGCGACAUGAGUAGCGAUAAGGGAUGUGAGAAUCAUCCCCGCCGAAAAUCUAAGGGUUCCUGGGCCAGGUGACUCCGCCCAGGGUUAGUCGGAUCCUAAGGCGAGGCCGAAAGGCGUAGUCGAUGGAUAACAGGUUAAUAUUCCUGUACUUGUUAGAUAUUGUUUGACUUGAAGGAGUGACGGAGAAAGGUAGCGAUGCCACCUAUUGGAUGGUGGUUUAAGCAUGUAGGAGGGUGAAAUAGGUAAAUCCGUUUUGCUAUUAACUCUGAGAUGUGAAUAGGAGGGCCUGGCCCGAAGAUCGUGAUCCUCUGCUUCCUAGAAAAGCUUCGCAAGGAGAUGUUUAUCAAUCCGUACCGUAAACCGACACAGGUAGAUGAGGAGAGAAUCCUCAGGCGAUUGGGUGAACUCCAGUUAAGGAACUCUGCAAAUUUGUGCCGUAACUUCGGGAGAAGGCACGCCUUUGUUGGUGACAUCACUUGCUGAUGGAGCUGAUGAGGGCCGCAGUGAAAAGGGGGUAGCGACUGUUUAUCAAAAACAUAGGUCUAUGCAAACACGUAAGUGGAAGUAUAUGGACUGACGCCUGCCCGGUGCUCGAAGGUUAAAAGGAGGGGUUAUCGUAAGAGAAGCUCUGAAUUGAAGCCCGAGUAAACGGCGGCCGUAACUAUAACGGUCCUAAGGUAGCGAAAUUCCUAGUCGGGUAAGUUCCGACCUGCACGAAUGGCGUAACGACUUCCCCACUGUCUCAACUGGAGGCCCAGCGAAAUUGGAGUGCGCGUGCAGAUACGCGCUUCCCGCGGAAGGACGAAAAGACCCCGUGAACCUUUACUGUAGCUUGGCAUUGGUUUUCGAAUAGUAAUGCGUAGGAUAGGUGGGAGCUUUUGAUGCGUGCGUUCUGGCGUACGAGUAGGCACCCUUGAAAUACCACCCUUUGCUAUUUGGAAAUCUAACCUACGAUCGUGAUCCGGUCGGGGGACAAUGUCUGGUGGGCAGUUUGACUGGGGCGGUCGCCUCCUAAAGAGUAACGGAGGCGCACAAAGGUUCCCUCAGCCCGAAUGGAAACCGGGCGUAGAGUGUAAGCGCAUAAGGGAGCUUAACUGCAAGACAGACAAGUCGAGCAGAUGCGAAAGCAGGUGCUAGUGAUCCGGUGGUUCCGUAU
rnacentral:rRNA from 1 species